GAAUUUCCUUGGUGGUGGCUGGUGUGUGGGCCUGCUCGCCAUUGUGUGGUUAUGUCCAGAGGCAGGGGAAGGCUCUGCACCUCCUGGCAUCAUGUCUUUGGCACCGGCAGAUGUUGGUUCUAUCCUCAAACACCAGAACACUU